rnacentral:rRNA from 1 species
AUUGAACGCUGGCGGCAGGCCUAACACAUGCAAGUCGAGCGGAUGAAGGGAGCUUGCUCCUGGAUUCAGCGGCGGACGGGUGGGUAAUGCCUAGGAAUCUGCCUGGUAGUGGGGGAUAACGUCCGGAAACGGGCGCUAAUACCGCAUACGUCCUGAGGGAGAAAGUGGGGAAUCUUCGGACCUCACGCUAUCAGAUGAGCCUAGGUCGGAUUAGCUAGUUGGUGGGGUAAAGGCCUACCAAGGCGACGAUCCGUAACUGGUCUGAGAGGAUGAUCAGUCACACUGGAACUGAGACACGGUCCAGACUCCUACGGGAGGCAGCAGUGGGGAAUAUUGGACAAUGGGCGAAAGCCUGAUCCAGCCAUGCCGCGUGUGUGAAGAAGGUCUUCGGAUUGUAAAGCACUUUAAGUUGGGAGGAAGGGCAGUAAGUUAAUACCUUGCUGUUUUGACGUUACCAACAGAAUAAGCACCGGCUAACUUCGUG